UUCCCAGUGACUUAGUGAUAAAGAAUCUGCUUGCCAAGCAGGAGAUAUGGGUUCAAUUCCUGGCUUGGGAA
rfam:Haemonchus contortus, ISE/inbred ISE, WGS project CAVP01000000 data, contig: Hcontortus_contig_pathogens_Hcontortus_scaffold_22808